GGUUACCUCAGGUCAGAGAAGACUACCCGCUGGACUUAAGCAUAUCACUAAGCGGAGGAAAAGAAACUAACUAGGAUUCCCCCAGUAACUGCGAGUGAAGAGGGAAGAGCUCAUCAUUGGAAUCUGGCGGUGUUGCACCGUCCGAGUUGUAGAUGAGGAGUGGUUCGUCUGGACUGCAUGGCGUCCAAGUACAAUAGGCCGUCAGUGGGACAUCAUAGAGGGUGACAAUCCCGUCCUUGAUGCCAAUGUGCAAGUCCAUUACGAUGGCCAUCUCAGAGAGUCGAGCAGUUUGGGAUUUGCUGCUUAAACAUGGGADGUAGAUUCCUUCUAAAGCUAAAUACAGGCAAGAGACCGAUAGAGAACAAGUACCGCAAGGGAAAGAUGAAAUAGCACUCUGUGAAGGGWGUCAAAAGGCGUGAAAUUGUUGCGAGAGAAGCGAUUCAAGUCAGCGUAGCUAGGCCCAUUAAGCCUCUUUGCGCUUUGGACUAGCUUUGCCAGCGGUCUUGUCCUUAGAGACUUGACUUGUAUGUCCAGCCUGGUAUGCACAGGUAGCCCUCCGGGGUCAGUGACAUGGCUGGUGGAAUGGCUUGCAAUCGACCCGUCUUGAAACACGGACCAAGGAGUCUAACAUGUAUGCGAGUAUAAGGGUGGCAAACCYGUAUGCGCAAUGAAAGUGAUUUUCGGUGAUUGAGAAUGGCCUGAUGACCAGACAAGCAAUAUAUGUCCCUCGUACGGCCAUUGCCCAAGUUCCGUGGUAGAUCCCACGAACAUGGAGUUGGAGCAUACAUGCUAGGACCCGAAAGAUGGUGAACUAUGCCUGGACAAAGCGAAGCCAAAGGAAACUCUGGUGGAGGCUUGUAGCGAUUCUGACGUGCAAAUCGA
rnacentral:rRNA from 1 species